rnacentral:rRNA from 1 species
AUGUUAAAUUUAGUUGAAGAAGAAAACAAUUACUUGAAGGAAAAAAUAAAAAAAAUUGAGGAGGAGAAGAUGAUAUUGGAGUUACAUGUUGCGGAUGUCGUCGAUGAUCACAAGAUCAAGAUGCAUGCAAUGCGGUUGAAGAUUAGAAAGAUUAGAAAAUAUGCCAUUCAUUCCGAAGCUUGGUAUCAUUAUACCGUUGGAUCAAUUGUUACCUUAGUUGUGAUUAUGAUCGCAUUUGUUGUUGCAUUGAAAGGUUUUACAAAGUUUCAAUGUAUGGUUUUACUAGAUGCUCUGGAGAGCUAUAAGUUGUUCAAUUUGAACUAUGUACGUACUUUGGUUUUAAUGUGA